rnacentral:rRNA from 1 species
UACAGAGACUGCAAGCGUUAUUCGGAUUCACUGGGCGUAAAGGGUGCGCAGGCGGCCAAGUGUGUGAGGCGUGAAAGCCUGGGGCUUAACCCCAGAAUUGCACCUCAAACUACGUGGCUAGAGCAUUGGAGAGGGUAGCAGAAUUCAUGGUGUAGCAGUGAAAUGCGUAGAUAUCAUGAGGAAUACCAGAGGCGAAGGCGGCUACCUGGACAAUUGCUGACGCUCAGGCACGAAAGCGUGGGGAGCAAAAGGG